rnacentral:rRNA from 1 species
AACGAACGCUGGCGGCAGGCCUAACACAUGCAAGUCGAGCGCGCCCUUCGGGGUGAGCGGCGGACGGGUGAGUAACGCGUGGGAACGUGCCCUUUUCUACGGAAUAGCCUCGGGAAACUGAGAGUAAUACCGUAUACGCCCUUUGGGGGAAAGAUUUAUCGGAAAAGGAUCGGCCCGCGUUGGAUUAGGUAGUUGGUGGGGUAAUGGCCUACCAAGCCGACGAUCCAUAGCUGGUUUGAGAGGAUGAUCAGCCACACUGGGACUGAGACACGGCCCAGACUCCUACGGGAGGCAGCAGUGGGGAAUCUUAGACAAUGGGGGCAACCCUGAUCUAGCCAUGCCGCGUGAGCGAUGAAGGCCUUAGGGUUGUAAAGCUCUUUCAGCUGGGAAGAUAAUGACGGUACCAGCAGAAGAAGCCCCGGCUAACUCCGUG